GGAUGGGUGGCUGAGUGGUCUAAAGCAACAGUCUUGAAAACUGUCGCCUUCGCAAGGGGGCCGUGAGUUCGAAUCUCACCCCAUCCG
rnacentral:tRNA from 1 species